UACGUAGGGUGCGAGCGUUAAUCGGAAUUACUGGGCGUAAAGCGUGCGCAGGCGGUUCUCCAAGUCCGUUGUGAAAGCCCCGGGCUCAACCUGGGAAUGGCAUUGGAAACUGGCGGGCUUGAGUGUGGCAGAGGGGGGUGGAAUUCCGCGUGUAGCAGUGAAAUGCGUAGAGAUGCGGAGGAACACCGAUGGCGAAGGCAGCCCCCUGGGCUAACACUGACGCUCAGGCACGAAAGCGUGGGGAGCAAACAGG
rnacentral:rRNA from 1 species